GAUAAUAUGCUGGAGGUGCUCAGGGCAAACAACUCAGAUGUGUGUGGGAGUGUGCAUGCGAGGGUUUUUACGCAUAUGGUAUAGUCUUUUUCCUGCCCAGAAGACCUACAUACUAGUCUAGCCCAUCCUGGGGGAAGUGAGAGAUGUGAUGGCUCUGCAUUUUCUCUGGCUUUGCCCUGGAACCUGGGAUGAAUCCACUCCGACUGGAUGGAAAUUUCAGCAAAUAAGAUCCCAGUGUUGUUCAUCAACUUCUCCAGGUUUGCUUUAAGCUCCUUUAGCUAGCUGCCCGCAUGCUGAUUGAAAGGUUACGAAGAAAACACAGGAAGAGAAAUCCAGGCUACAAUUGUUAUUUGCAAGUUAGUGACUGGUCCUGGAACCUGACACUCCCUUCAUGGGUCAGCAUGCCCAGAGUUUUUGUGGUUCAUUUACCCCAGAAGGACUUAGUACCAAACAUUUCACAGAUUUCCGUUAUAAAGGUCUUUACAAACACAGACCCAUGCAAAAGGCCCAACUAUCACCUUCAACAACAAUGCAAUGGCCUUCCAUGGCCUUACAGUAGGGCCAAGUCAGCAAGGACCUAAACAGCCUCCAGUGUGACUUUGUCACAGUUCGCGCAC
rnacentral:lncRNA from 1 species